UGGGGAAUAUUGCACAAUGGGCGCAAGCCUGAUGCAGCCAUGCCGCGUGUGUGAAGAAGGCCUUCGGGUUGUAAAGCACUUUCAGCGAGGAGGAAGGUGGUGAACUUAAUACGUUCAUCAAUUGACGUUACUCGCAGAAGAAGCACCGGCUAACUCCGUGCCAGCAGCCGCGGUAAUACGGAGGGCGCAAGCGUUAAUCGGAAUUACUGGGCGUAAAGCGCACGCAGGCGGUUUGUUAAGUCAGAUGUGAAAUCCCCGGGCUCAACCUGGGAACUGCAUUUGAAACUGGCAAGCUAGAGUCUCGUAGAGGGGGGUAGAAUUCCAGGUGUAGCGGUGAAAUGCGUAGAGAUCUGGAGGAAUACCGGUGGCGAAGGCGGCCCCCUGGACGAAGACUGACGCUCAGGUGCGAAAAGCGUGGGGAGCAAACAGGAUUAGAUACCCUGGUAGUCCACGCUGUAAAACGAUGUCGAUUUUGGAGGUUGUGCCCUUGAGGCGUGGCUUCCGGAGCUAACGCGUUAAAUCGACCGCCUGGGGAGUACGGCCGCAAGGUUAAAACUUAAAUG
rnacentral:rRNA from 1 species